UGGCUCAGGAUGAACGCUAGCGGACGUUAAAAACAUGCAAGUCGAGGGGCAGCACGGGUAGCAAUCCCUGGUGGCGACCGGCGCACGGGUGCGUAACACGUAUACAAUCUGCCCAUAUCAGGGAGAUAGCCCGGAGAAAUCCGGAUUAAUAUCCCAUAACAGCGGGAUCGGCAUCGAUCCUUCUUAAAAGCUCCGGCGGAUAUGGAUGAGUAUGCGACUGAUUAGUUAGUUGGUGAGGUAACGGCUCACCAAGACCACGAUCAGUAGGGGUUCUGAGAGGAUUAACCCCCACACUGGUACUGAGACACGGACCAGACUCCUACGGGAGGCAGCAGUAAGGAAUAUUGGACAAUGCCCGCAAGGGUGAUCCAGCCAUGCCGCGUGCAGGAAGACGGACCUAUGGUUUGUAAACUGCUUUUGAACAAGAGAAAACCCCCCUACGUGUAGGGGGCUGAUAGUAUUGUUAGAAUAAGCAUCGGCUAACUUCGUGCCAGCAGCCGCGGUAAGACGAAGGAUGCAAGCGUUAUCCGGAUUCAUUGGGUUUAAAGGGUGCGUAGGCGGCCCGGUAAGUCAGUGGUGAAAUCUCUGAGCUCAACUGGGAGGGGUUGUCCGAUACUGCUGAGCUUGAGRGCAGUAGAGGGGGGUGGAAUUCCGGGUGUAGUGGUGAAAUGCGUAGAUAUCCGGAGGAACACCAGUGGCGAAGGCAGCCCCCUGGGAUAACACUGACGCUCAUGCACGAAAGCGUGGGGAGCAAACAGGAUUAGAUACCCUGGUAGUCCACGCCCUAAACGAUGUCAACUAGUUGUCGGGUCUUAWUUGACUUGGUAACGCAGCUAACGCGUGAAGUUGACCGCCCUGGGGAGUACGGUCGCAAGAUUAAAACUCAAAGGAAUUGACGGGGACCCGCACMAGCGGUGGAUGAUGUGGAUUAWUUCGAUGCAACGCGAAAAACCUUACCUACCCUUGACAUGUCUGGAACCCUGCUGAGAGGUGGGGGUGCUCGAAAGAGAACCAGAACACAGGUGCUGCAUGGCUGUCGUCAGCUCGUGUCGUGAGAUGUUGGGUUAAGUCCCGCAGCGAGCGCAACCCUUGUCAUUAGUUGCUACGAAAGGGCACUUUAAUGAGACUGCCGGUGACAAACCGGAGGAAGGUGGGGAUGACGUCAAGUCCUCAUGGCCCUUAUGGGUAGGGCUUCACACGUCAUACAAUGGUACAUACAGAGGGCUGCCAACCCGCGAGGGGGAGCUAAUCCCAGAAAGUGUAUCGUAGUCCGGAUUGUAGUCUGCAACUCGACUACAUGAAGUUGGAAUCGCUAGUAAUCGCGGAUCAGCAUGUCGCGGUGAAUACGUUCCCGGGUCUUGUACACACCGCCCGUCACACCAUGGGAGCGGGUUUUACCAGAAGUGGGUAGCCUAACCGCAAGGAGGGCGCUUACGCACGGUAGGAUUCGUGACUGGGGUG
rnacentral:rRNA from 1 species